rnacentral:miRNA from 1 species
UGGGGUUAAAAUGCGGAACGGAACGAAUAUGAGGUUAAAACUUAAUUUAAAACCCAUAUCCGUUCCGUUCCGCAUUUUAACCCCAUAUCCGUUCCG